CACUUGGUCUAAUCUUCAUAGAGUCUUCAGCAAGCACCUUUAUCACACAGACAUAAUUUUCAGCUGUCACAUAUAGUGUCUAAGAGAGGCCAACUAAUGCCAACCAUAGUGAAAAUGAGGGCUGGAAGAAACCUGGAGAAAUCACCUAGUUCAAUCCUCUGAUCAAGAAAGCACCAUUUCUUUUUAAACUAUCUCAAAUAAAUGUUUGCCUGAAAUGCACUUAAAAAAGUCCAGUGACAGACAUUCCACAACCUGUUCAGUGCUUAUCUAUCUUCAUAGCUAGAACAUAACACAAUUCUCCUUCGCUGCAAUUUAAGCCUAUUCUUGUCCUUCCCCACAGUGUACAUCACAGAACAAUUAAUCAACAUUCUCUUUAUAUCAGCCUUUCUUAUAUUUGAAGAACAUUAUAAUAUCUUCUUCUCUAAAAUAAUCUGAGUUCUUCCAACAAUUUGCCUCACAUGCCAUGUUUUUAGACUGCUAAUCAUUUUUGUUGUUAUCUUCUGGAGGACGAUUUGUCCAAACUGGGCAGAGUUAAGUGAGGCUUUGACAAAAAGCCUUUGACAGUGGUCAAAGUG